UUGUGUUGUGUACAGCACUGCCAGAUGGGAAUUAUUAAACUAUCCUAACAGAGGCUUAAAAUUGUCGUAUUUGAAGAAAAUUAUUGUACAAGGCCAAAACAAGAGAAG